rnacentral:rRNA from 1 species
GUCCUUCGGGACUGAUUAAAGUGGCGCACGGGUGAGUAACGCGUAGAUAAUCUACCCUACAGUCGGGAAUAACCCUCCGAAAGGAGAGCUAAUACCGGAUAACAAUGGAAAUCGAGUGGUUUCUAUUUGAAAGUUCCGACGCUGAAGGAUGAGUCUGCGUUCCAUUAGCUAGUUGGUGAGGUAACGGCUCACCAAGGCGACGAUGGAUAGCGGGUCUGAGAGGAUGAUCCGCCACACUGGCACUGAGACACGGGCCAGACUCCUACGGGAGGCAGCAGUGGGGAAUCUUGCGCAAUGGGCGAAAGCCUGACGCAGCAAUGCCGCGUGAGCGAAGAAGGCCUUCGGGUCGUAAAGCUCUUUAUCUCUGUGAAGAUGAUGACGGUAGCAGAGGAAUAAGCACCGGCUAACUACGUGCCAGCAGCCGCGGUAAUACGUAGGGUGCGAGCGUUGUUCGGAAUUACUGGGCGUAAAGGGUGUGUAGGCGGACUGAUUAGCCAGGGGUGAAAGCCCGGAGCUCAACUCCGGAAUUGCUCUUGGAACUGUCAGUCUAGAGAGGGUCAGAGGCUAGCGGAAUUCCUGGUGUAGAGGUGAAAUUCGUAGAUAUCAGGAGGAACACCGGCGGCGAAAGCGGCUGGCUGGGGCCACUCUGACGCUGAGACGCGAAAGCGUGGGGAGCAAACAGGAUUAGAUACCCUGGUAGUCCACGCCGUAAACGUUGGGUGCUAGGUGUCGCGGGUAUUGACCCCUGCGGUGCCGUCGUUAACGC